rnacentral:lncRNA from 1 species
GGCACAAUAACAAACAUAGUAGUGCAAACAAAUAUAAAUACAAUCAAUGAAUAAACAACAGUAACAGCAGUUUUUGUGUGCCUGAGAUAUUCUUCUGAAGGAUGUGCUCUCAUGAUAAUGAUAUAUAUAGUACAACAAAACACAUUUAAAUUAAUUGAGAAUUAAUAUGUAAUAGUGAACUAUUAAUAAAAAAAUAAAUGGGCCUACUGUAUUGCAUGUACUUUACCAUAUUUUAAGGGGAAUACCAGGAUAAAUGUAUAUUGUAGUAAGAUAAGAAAGUAUAGUGUACAUAGCGUGCAGUUCACUCUGGUGUCCACUGGUGUGCACUGGAGCGCUGUCGGUCGUCUGUCCAGCCGUUAACAGAUCAGACGUUACAUUAUUCCCUCAUAGAGGAAUUAUGAAACGUUAUUAAGUUAUUGUUGCAUGUAUGAUUCAGAUCACAUUAGAUGUGUUUAAACUAGAAGUUACUGCUCUCUCUCUGACAGUAAAUGAAACAGCGCUUGCGUUUAAAUUCUUAUUGGACUAGAUUGUGACACGUGACCAGGAAGCGCUCUGUCGCAGCACAUGCGACAACAUUACUUUGUUAAAAUGACACAGUGUGCUGCCAUAUUCCUCCUUUUUAGUCAUCUACUGUCGUUAAACCGUCACAGAGAACAGUUCUUCCCAGGAUCAGGUCCCGGUCUCUGACGUGUACAACUCAUACUUACCUGGCAGGGGAGAUACCAUGAUCAACAAGGUGGUUCACCCAGGGCGAGGCUUGGCCAUUGCACUCCGGCUGAGCUGACCUCUGCGAAUUCCCCAAAUGUGGGAAUCUCGACUGCAUAAUUUGUGGUAGUGGGGGACUGCGUCCGCGCUCUCCCCUGAUAACUGUGUUAAUAGAAAUUAAUAUGAUAAUACAUCAAAGCACUGAUGUUUGACGUUGAUUGCUGUGAAGCUGGUUACACUUGUGUCAGAAGUUCCCUGUUUCUCAUGAGCCACUAUAGCAUAACAAGCUCCUGUGAUAAUGUUAUUCAUUUAUAUUAGUUUAAUUUAAAUAAGUAAAUCUAGAAUGAUCUAAUGAAAUCAGCCACGACUGCCCCCUGUUGUUUAUAGGACGUCUGUCAGUCAGUGAACAAGAGAGGAAUCUGACAAUUGUUCGGUUUGCAGAUUAAAUAUUUGUUGAAGUCUCCUGAAGGUGGAACAAAUAUAUGGUGUUGUAAAGAGUUAACAUUAAAACAAUUGAAACUCAGCUUGAAUCCUGCAGUCAGCUCUGUUCUCCACUAGAAACUAGUAUAUCCAUCUUCUUGUUUAACAUUAGCGAUUUUAUAAUCUGUAUAAA